rnacentral:lncRNA from 1 species
GCCCCGCGCUGCUGGCUGCGGAUUCGGGAGCCGGGCCGGACGAGGGCUGCUCCGUGGACGCCCUAGCGGUGAAGAGAAGGCCUACGCGCCGGAGCACCCGCAUGGGUGCGGACAGGAGAGGGCUUGCCAGCACUGUGCCUGGAGUUCGUUACUCUGCGCUCCCGGGUUCUUUGAAGGAACUCAAACACUCGAUUCCCGCUUGUGAUUUCUUUCUCUGCGCCCCAAACCACAGACAAGGGACUGUUGCUUUGCAGUACUCGCUUCCUGCCCAAAGUUUGCUGGGCUUAGAGGAUCUGGUUCCUGCUUCCUGGGGGAGAUUUCUAUUCAAAUUGAUUCAAAUUCAAACGAAUUUUGCAGCCCUAGCUGAAUGGGCCUUUCCCAGGGGCACUUAUUAACUGUCCCCACCCCCCACCUUGGGGAUUUUCUUACUCUGGAGUUCAGAAUCUUCUAUCCCAAGAUAAAUACCGCCUCAUCAUUGAUUAGUCCAACUACCAUCUGGAUGACUUUAAUUACAAUACAUUCGAACUCACUAUGCACUUUGUUGGGGCUCUCUGCUCAAGAUGUUUAAUCUCUGCAAGACUCUACCCAAACAUUGCCUUAUCGGACUUCUAAGCUGUGUGGUGUGAGUAAUUUGAUGACUUUGAGGUCGUGCCUACCCGAACUGUUUCUCCUUAUGAGUAAUGAAAUUCAGGGAUCAUAUGAAUCGUUUGGCUUGUGAUCCAUAAGUUGAAAGUUAAAACUAACCGUGAAGCUUAGAUUUAAUGACUAUCUCUCCUUUUAAAAAAAAUCAAUAUUGGCUUAACACCUAUCACGUGCUUAGCAAAGAGAUCUCUCAAGAUAAAGACUAGCACAAAGGUUUAAGCCAAUCAGACAGGCGUAACGGAAGACCUAAUAGAGCUGAUACUCUCUAUCUCUGGUGACUAUCUAAACUUCUGUAAUACCUGCCAUUAGAUCUGCCAUCCCCUCCGAGACUGAUUUUGUUCUGAGACUAUGUUUUCCUCCUGGCGCCUUCAUUCUUUUGUUUCUAUGCUGUUUUUAGUGAAAAACCUUCUGCACCUGUGACUCUUGCAGCCUGGUCCCCCGGUGGGGAAGAAAAGAAAGUAGUGGUAAUUUACAAAUGAAUUCGAAGGUGUGGACGCAGUAGACCUUUCCAGUUUUAUGUUAAUCUCAUUAAGCAUUUACCUAGGAUAUCUUUGGAAAGUGGUUUUCCUUGAGGAAGGAAUUUGCCAAAUCUCAGAUCCAGCUGAGAAGUACGGCAAAUAUCCUCCUCCCUCUACAACAUUUACUUCCAGCAGACUGGUGAUCUGGAGUCUAAAUGAAGCAAGUCUUCACAACUAGCUAAUAUAUUUAUAAGUACUUUUGUGAGCACUAAAUUUUUGUCUCUGUGGAACGUGUGGGAAACGGAGUGGUAUGCUGUAAAUGUUUUAUAGAAUUUAGUUGGAGAUACAACCAGUAUUGAAGGGUGAGUUUACAGAUUAAAUCCAAACAAGUGGCAGUAAAACCUUUAUAGUCUUUACAACAGUAUGCAGUUUGUUUAUACCACAGAAAUCAGAGAAAAGACAUUAAGGAAAAAUUGUAGUAAUUUGAAAUAAUAUUCUUAUUUCCAUAUAUCUUCCUGAAUAAAGUUUUGUUUAACCCAAAAA